AUAAGCGCCCUCCUUCCCCUUGAGAGAGGGCAGCGCUGGCUCCGCUCCAGCCAGAGGCCCCCAUCCCUCACAUCUCGCGCGGUGCACGCCUCCUUCAGCCCCACUCGCAUCUCCUCAGAGUUCCUGCUCCUCCUCAGGGCCCCCUUCUCCUCAAAGCCCUCGGUCCUCAGAGACCCUCACUCCCCAGAGCACCCCAACUCUUCCUCCAAGCCACCCCCUCCUCCUCAGAACCCCACACCUCUUAUAGCUUGAUCGACAGCCCCCAUUCAUUUCCAGAAGCCCCAAGCCCCAGACCCCUGCUCAGUCCCCCUAAUGCUCCCUGCAUCCUCAGCCCCAUCAGGUGGGCCACUGGGGCCCCUGGCUCUUCCUCUAGAGCUUUCCACGCCCCGUUCACCUGGCUAAGGCGGGGCGCAGGCGUGCGUGGUUGAUGGCAACGAGGAGAUUACAGUUCUGGGCAUAGAAAAUGCUACCACGUGGUUACCGAAUGAAGGAAGGAUGUUUACUGAGAGACUCCCCUGCAGUGUACCCCAAAUCAGAGCGAAUCCUCACAUCUUUGUUUCUAGUCCUUAGGACACAGCAUCGAAGGCUCCUAGUGCACAAGAAAAGGAACUGGGCGGUGGCUCAUGCCUGUAAUCCUAGCACUUUGGGCGGCAGAGGCGGGAGGAUCACUUGAGCACGGGAGUUUGAGACCAGCUUGGGCAACAUAGUGAGACCCCGUGGUGGUGCACGCCUGUGGUCCCAGCUAUUUGGGACUUGAGAGGCUGAAGUGGGAGGAUCACUUGGGCCUGGGAAUUUGAGGCUGCAGUGAGCCAUGAUUGCACCACUGCACUGCAGCCUGGUUGACGGAGACCAGGUCUCAAAAAAAAAAAAAAAAAAAAAAAGUAAUGGCCUGGACAUGAAUCUCUUCUCCAAAGUCACAGAACCUCCUGGAGCCUAUUUGCUAUGAGGACAGUCUCCAGAUGUGGGCUCAGUAAAAGGUCCUCAGCCUGCUGGCUGGGAGCCCUUCCAGGGUGGGGCCCACGUUCUCUCCAUUGCUGCUGGGGAGGAAAUUCAAACACCAUCUGGUAUGGCUGGAUUGGAGAGCGUCGGGAGACUCCAAAGGGGACGGCAGGGAGUGAAAAAUGAAAGACAUUGACCGAGUGUCUGGACAAUAGGGAAAGCUCUCUGAUGAAGGAAACCGACACUUGGCUCCAAUGACAGAAAGUAAUAGAUUGCAUGGGAGCCACGGAGACCAGUGCCUGUUCAAAAGGUCACCCACAAGCACAGCACUGCCCAGGAGGCCUGAACAGUAGUGGCCUUCAGGCUGGGUGCAGUGGCUGACACCUAUGAUCCCAACACUUUGGGAGUCUGAGGUGGGAGAUUACUUGAGCCCAGGAGUUCAAGACCAGUCUGGGGAACAUAGUGAGACCCCAUCUCUACAAAAAUAAAAAUUAAAAAAAUAGCUAAAUUAGCUGGUCAUGGUCCCAGCUACUUGGGAGGCUGAGGCGGGAGGAUAAGUUGGGCUCAGGAGGUCGAGGCUACAGUGAGCUGUGUUUGUGCCACUGCACUCCAGCCUGGGUGAGAGAGCAAAACCUGCCCCCAACCCCAACAAAGUAGUAUCCUUCAGAGAACUUGGAGGGGUGGGCACUGAAAGCUUCAGGGACCAGCAGAGACAAAAAUUUGAAGCCACUUGGUGGAGACGGGAGAUCGACAAGAGGAAAUGGUCUCGAAGGAGACCCACGGGGUGCAGGUUAAAACCUGGAGGAGCUGAUGUGAACAGCCAGCUCAGAGCGCCUGAGACAGAGUUGCCUUUUUUUUUUUUUUUUUUUUUUAGACAGAAAUCUUACUCUGUUGCCCAGGCUGGAGUGUAGUGGCGUGACCUUGGCUCACUGCAACCUCCACCUCCUGGGUUCAAGCACUUCUCCUGCCUUAGCCUCCUCCUGAGUAGCUUACAGGCACCCACCACCACGCCCGGCUAAUUUUUGCAUUUUUAGUAGAAAUGAGGUUUCACCAUGUUGGCCAGGCUAGUUUCAAACUUCUGACCUCAGGUGAUCUGCCUGCCUCGGCCGCCCAAAGUGCUGGGAUUACAGGUAUGAGCCACCUCACCCGUCCCACUGUUGCCAUUUGGAGGUCAUCAGGGGUCUCUACUGCAUAGAAAUUAGUUGGCAGCCUUGGCACUCAAAGUGCUCGGCCAGGGCCAUUUAAUAUAGAAGGACCUGGGAGUUUUGGGUUCUUUGACAAUGCAUAUUUCAGUGGUUUAAGAAUUUGGCACAGGUGGCUGGGCAUGGCGGCUCACAUCUCUGAGUGACCUGGGUUCAAAUUCUAGCUGUUAUUCAGCAUGGGAUUCAAAAGUAGGGACAUAACCCCACCUCCUCACUGGUGAGGUGGGAGCAGAGAAUGACAUCCUGGCACACACUGUGCCUUGGAGGGGGCCUCCCUGAGCAUCUCAGAGGGGGCUCAUGAUGGAUCUGGCACUCAUGGGUUGGGUGCUGUGGGGUGAGGUAGGGAAAGCCCAGCUGAGCUUGGGACCAACCCUGGGCUUCGUGGGAAUCUGAAGUCCCUUUCCUAGGGGCCUCUCUGGUCCCUCGGGGCCUGUAUGUGCCAUCUCCAAGCUGUGUUUACCAUGGGCCAGAUCACAACCUGUCUGAAUCAGUGUUCUCACAUAAAAAUCAGAAAGACUGAUCCCAGCACUUUGGGAGGCCAAAGCAGGCGGAUCAUGAGGUCAGGAGUUCAAGACCAGCCUGGCCAAUAUGGUGAAAUCCCAUCUCUAUUAAAAUACAAAAAAUUAGCCAGACAUGGUGGUGCAUGCCUGUAGUCCCAGCUACUUGGGAGGCUGAGGCAGAAGAAUCGCUUGAACCUGGAGGGGGCGGAGGUUGCAGUGAGCUGA
rnacentral:lncRNA from 1 species